AUUGAACGCUGGCGGCAGGCCUAACACAUGCAAGUCGAGCGGAGCGGCGGACGGGUGAGUAAUGCCUAGGAAUCUGCCUGGUAGUGGGGGAUAACGUCCGGAAACGGGCGCUAAUACCGCAUACUAUCAGAUGAGCCUAGGUCGGAUUAGCUAGUUGGUGGGGUAAAGGCCUACCAAGGCGACGAUCCGUAACUGGUCUGAGAGGAUGAUCAGUCAGACGGGAACGUGGACACGGUCCAAGCUCCUACGGUAGGUAGCAGUGGGGAAUAUUGGACAAUGGGCGCAAGCCUGAGCCAGCCAUGCAUCGUGAGUGAAGAAGGGCUUCGGAUUGUAAAGCACUUUAAGUUGGUAGGCGUUACCAACAGAAUGAGCACCGGCUAACUUCGUGCCAGCAGCCGCGGUAAUUC
rnacentral:rRNA from 1 species